rnacentral:lncRNA from 1 species
CUAGCCCUUGCCAAGACAACCUGUGAAUGGCUCCACCUGCCCCAAACCCAGGACAGCUGUUUGGAGCUUCUCCCACGGAUGUUUGUGAGAAUGACAAGCUGCCUGCCCCUCUGCUAGCUUUUAGACCAGCUGCCAAAGGCCAAUGUUGUUCUCUUGUGAUGCCUUUUUGGCGUGUUACAUAACAUUGAGCAGCAUUCCUCAGCCAAUCAGAUGACAGCUUAUAAUUUAUCUGCGUGUAUAGCCUCAAGCAUUUUCCUGCCUACUCCCUGCAGCUCAGAAGUGGUAAAUGAGUUCACCAAAAAGGUUUCUAUUGUACAAUUUCUCAUUGAAAACUGCCUCAGCAUAUUUGGAGAAGACAUCACUUCCCUCUUGGAGAAGAGCUCAAUGACUUGUGACAACAGUGAUGCUUCAGGUACCUUGAAAAAUUCAGUUGGUUUUGAUGAGAAACAGUGAGUGGGGAUGCCAGGAGUCAUGAGAGAUGCUUAGGCAGUGGCUGUCCUGGAGUCCAGGGCAAGCCCCAAGCACAAUGAUGCAGGACCCAGGACUCCAUCUGCUCAUUCUUCAUAAGGUUGGCUCACAGGUCAUCUGCUGAGAAGGUCACCUGCUCCUCCUUCACUGUGCUCACUGAAUGAGGACAUUCCAAGAUCCCAGCUCCUCCCAUUUGAACUUUCCUCUUCCUAAUCCCAUGCAUCUAUGUUUGAGAAAAUAUUCCCACAUGAUUUUCUA